rnacentral:lncRNA from 1 species
AUCCCUAUUUCCGGCUUGCCAUGGCAGCGCUCGGGGUUUAACGGAAGUAAGCAAUGGAAAGUAUGGUGGUGCCUCGGGUCCAAAGAGAAUGCGCCGCUGAGUUGCGCGGCACCUGACGGGAUUGAGCCUCAGACACAAGCGCUCCAAAUCUCCGACUGUAGCUGAUCUUUCAAGACUCUAGUCAAAAUGAGCAGAACAUUUUGCAGUUAAUCAUAGAGUUGAAGAUGAACGAGAAGAUGAACGAGAGCUACUUGAUUGUGAACUAGUAACGACCACUUGGAGUCGCAGUGUGUCUGUAAAAUGAUGAUGACAGUGACAUCAUAGAGGACAUAGUGCAAGUGAACAGUUUGAUACUGAGCUUGGAGCCUCAGUAGUUCUGGAUAAGUGAGAGCUGUACGGGAGGUUGUAACCAUGAGCUACCCUGGUUGGCAGUUGACAUCCGAGGACCAGCACUGGUCAUCGCACAGAAAGAAAACUUUACACCUUGAGAUCCCUCCAUUCUUCUUAAACUUCCAAGUGUAUGUUUGAUGGGAGAAGAGGGGAAGGGAUCAACAUUUAAAGGCUCUGGAAGGAGUCAGAUAACUGUUUUUGGCUUCAAAUGUAGAAUGAAUCCCUAGAUUUUCCUCUACUGAGAGAAUGAAAUCUUAACCCAUUCCGUUCCCUUGUUGGUACUCAGAAACGGAUACCCCAAAGAUGCAUUUUGACAUGCUGAAAGGCCUUAGAAGCUGCCUUAGAAGAUCUGUCUAACCUUGUCUUGUUGGUGUGUGGAAGUGGGAAUGCCCACAGGUGCACAGGGAGGGAGUUUCUGAAAUUAUCUGACCGAGAAAGCAAAAAAAAAAAAUCAAUUGUCUUAAACCCGGUUUCUAGGGAUCUCAUUAAAGAACUAGGAAAAAUUAACCACCUGUUAACAGAAAAACCAAACUGAAAUGUUUUAAAGAGAUUUAUUUUGAGCCAAUAUGAGUGACCAUGGCCUGGGGAACACAGGCUCAAGAGGUCCUGAGAAAGUGUGCCUGAGACAGUAGAAUUACAGUUUGGUUUUGUACAUUUUAGGUGGACAGGAGUUACAGACAAAGACAUAAAUCAGUACAUGGAAGGUACAGAUUGUGUUCAGCUGGGUGCAGUGGCUCACGCCUGUAAUCCCAGCACUUUGGGAGGUCGAGGUGGGCGAAUCGCUUGAGGUCAGGAGUUCGAGACCAGCCUGGCUAACAUGGUGAAACCGUGUCUCUACAAAAAAUACAAAAAAUUAGCCAGGGAUGGUGGCAGGCACCUGUAGUCCUGGAGCUACUCAGGAGGUUGAGGCACGAGAAUUGCUGCGGAGGUUGUAGUGAGCCGAGACCACACCACUGCACUCCAGCCUGGGUGACAGAGCAUGACUCUGUCUCAAAAAAAAAAAAAAAAUUCUACGGUAUUUUUAUAAUACAUUUUGUAGUACCACUUAUAACCACUUGGGUGCGUGGGUUGCCCAUUAAAUCAAACAGUUUACAGUUCACCCUUGAACAACAUGGAUUUAAACUGUACUGGUCCACUUAUACUCAGAUUUUCUUCUGCCGCUGUCACUCUGAGACAGCAAGACCAACCCCCCUUCCUCUCCUCAGCCUACUCAAUGUGAAAAGGACAAGGAUGAAGGCCUUUAUGAUGAUCCACUUCCACUUAAUGAAUAGUAUAUUUUAUCUUCCUUACGAUUUCCUUAAUAACAGUUUCUUCUCUCUACUUUACUAUUGCAAGAAUACAGUAUAUAAUGCAUAUAACAUACAAAAUAUGUGUUCAUCUAUGUCAUCAGUAAGACUUCAGAUCGACAGUAGGCUAUUAAUAGUUAAGUUUUGGGGGAGUCAAAAGUUAUAUGUGGAUUUUCUACUGCAUUGUUUAAGGGUCAACUGUAGAUUCAACGACUACCUAGGAUUGUAGAGUUGACUGAUAGCACUGGGACUGAUGAUAACAUCAUAACCUGUAAGAAGUGUCAACAAUGGUGAUGGACCCCCAGCAACCCUGGAGUGGGGAUGUCUAAAGAUAGAUGUCAUCCACCAGGCAGGAGUUGGUGCUGCCAGUGUGUCAUGUACUGCAGCCUCUUUUAUUUAUUU